GAGCUGUUGGGGGAUGAGAGCUUUGAGUGAUCCAUCGACUGAAACAAUGAUGAGACUUCAAGCACUGACAACGGCUU